GCUGAAGCCAGCCAGGCAGGCAGUAAGUACUAUGGACAAGGUACAGACAGCACUGAGGAUGGAGCUCAAUCCAAAGGGAUCCUACUCAUUGGGGCAGAAAGGGAGAGAGAGACAGGCACAAUGCAACAUCUGCCGACUGCUUUUAAACUACUAUUGGACAUCAAGAAUGAAUAUAUCCAGGAUUACUUAGAUUUGGACGUUUAUGCAUUUAUUUUUCGAAUUUAAAAGCUUUGGAGUUUCUAGAAUGAUUGGAUCUAAGGAAUUUUCACCAGCAUUGCUGGAUAUGUGGAUCCCUUCACCUUUUCGAGAUGCAUUAUUUUGACCUUUUUAAAAAUAUGUACACUGGAAUAUUCCCUGCACUGUUUUGGGGGACACAUUGAUCCGGCCUUUAGGAUUAUUGGAAUCACUGAGUCAGUACAGUUGAGCCACAAGAAAUAUUGGCUCUGUUGAUGGAAAAAUGCCUCACUCAUUAUUGGGAGACUUUCCUCGGAUUAUUGGAAUUGAACCGUUUUCAUUUGUGGAUGGGGAAUGUGUUGGGGGGGUGUGUGUUUUUGCUUCAAGGAAACGAAAAUGUCAUGGUCACGAUCAUGAAUCGUGGAGAUGUGCAGUGUGGCUACUAGCUGGAUUAAUGCAGAUGGCUCUAAGCGAGUUUUCUUUCUCCCCAACCAGCAAAAUAAACCCUGGAAUAUGUUACAAGCUUCUGGAAUGUUCUUGUCAUUUGGGUUAACAUCGCCACUGAGGAUAUUAUAUCCAGAUGAUGUAUUGAAAAGCCUGGGAUGUAUAGAGGAUACGAUGUGGAUUUAAUCUCACUAUGAUAGUGUGGAUUUUUACUACAUUUUGGUUUGGACUUAGUUAAGAGGUAUAUUGCUGCACGGCCACGAAUAAAGCAACAAAACACCCCAGAUGACAUGGUCAUUCCACGUACUACCACCCACUACCCGACGAUCAAAAGACUGCUCCUCCCUAACCUCAAUAUUGGAGCUUUAAGCUGUCAAAUGUGACAUCAUGAACAACAUCCGCUUAGUACUGAAGGCUGAAACUCAAUCUGCACUCCAACAAAUCCAAACAGGACACCAUGACAACGUCAAAAACCAACGCACCAUUUCAACACCUCUUCAUUUUGACCUCCAUCUGUGCAGUUUCACAAAUGCUUGAGCUUAAUUGAGCAUUGGACACCAUUUCCAAAAGAACUCAGAAAAUAAGCUGCAAGAAAACAAGGUUGCUGAGAAUAUGAGAGAAAAUGCCAGAUGGACAAAAGAUGCUUGAUGUAGAUCCAUCUCAGUGAGGGACCUUGUGGAUGGAUUUCCGCAGUUCAAAAUUUUACAGUUGUUUCAUGUAAUUCUUCCAAAGCUGAAGUAACAAGGUUUAACUUCUGUAUGAGUGUUAUCUAUUUGUGUCUGAAAUAUUUUGUUUUCAAAUAAAUGGGUAAUAUUUACGAACAUGACAAAGGCAUUGGAUUGUAAAUUCUUCAUGGUUGUGGAAGCCCAGUUUAGAACUUUGUACCAUUGAGAUCUUUUCAUUGUUCUUUAUAAUUUGGUGAACAUUAGGGUUGAGUGAAAAUUUUUUAAAAAGCUAUGUCCAAUCAAAUAAAGAGAACUAACUAGCUUUGUAUAUUUGUUUGUACUUUCUUAUGAAACAAAUGUUCAUGUAUGUAUGAAUUAUGUUGAACUUGUAAUUUUGUAUUGUAAAUUUGUAGAUAUAAUUUAUGAUUAGACUACUCUAUCUUCCUUUUAAAAUUACUAUUUAUUUGAAACUUUUGGGUUCCCUAAUUUAGACAUUUUUGAAAAUGACCAUUAGUAAAGAACUUCUAGUUGCUAUAGAAGGCUAUUUUCUGAUAAUAUUUGCAUCUGCGCAAAUCUUCAAUCAAAUUGCCUUGAAGCACUUUUAUAUAGAAUCACUUUGUGAAGUGCAGUGACAGAUGUUAUGUAAAGGACUCCUUCAAAUAGGUGAGUUCAUUUAAAUAGAAGUCUAGAUUCAGGAUGUACCUGGCAAUUAUUUGUUUAAUAUAUUAUGUCUAGGAUAUUCCAUAAAGGGAAAUUAAUAUUGGACAGCAUCUUAGUAAUAGGGUUUAACCACAUCAAAAGAAAGCUUCAUUUAGCAAUGUUGGCACAGUGCAAUGACUUGCCGUCAAUAAAUUUUAUUUGAAAUGGAGGGUAUGGGUAAAUAUGAUUUUGUAUCGAUAGUAGAUAAAGAUUUCAUCAUCUUUCUAUUCAUAUGUUCUUCCAUUUUAAAGAUGCCCCUGACAUAAUCAACCAAAUAAUAUAUAUAAAACAAAGUUUCAGUUACUAAAGAGAGCUAACUUUUUGAAAAAUAAAACAAUUAACAAUCACUGCAACAUUGAAUAGCUGCACCUACAUGUUUUGUUCAACUACAGAAGCAACUUGAUUGAUCUUCUAUUGAAAACAUGUAUGCCAAAAAAUAAUGUGCUGUAUACUUUUUAUUUUUAUUUCCUAUUUACAAUUUAUUUUAACAAUGUGAAAUACAUACAAAACUUUGCAUAAUAAAAAACAUUAUUGAGAA